rnacentral:rRNA from 1 species
AUUGAACGCUGGCGGCAUGCCUUACACAUGCAAGUCGAACGGCAGCACGGGUGCUUGCACCUGGUGGCGAGUGGCGAACGGGUGAGUAAUACAUCGGAACGUACCUUAUCGUGGGGGAUAACGCAGCGAAAGCUGUGCUAAUACCGCAUACGCCCUGAGGGGAAAAGCGGGGGAUCGCAAGACCUCGCGCGAUUAGAGCGGCCGAUGCCUGAUUAGCUAGUUGGUGGGGUAAAAGCCCACCAAGGCGACGAUCAGUAGCUGGUCUGAGAGGACGAUCAGCCACACUGGGACUGAGACACGGCCCAGACUCCUACGGGAGGCAGCAGUGGGGAAUUUUGGACAAUGGGGGCAACCCUGAUCCAGCAAUGCCGCGUGGGUGAAGAAGGCCUUCGGGUUGUAAAGCUCUUUUGUCAGGGAAGAAACACCGGCUCUAACACAGUCCGGGAAUGACGGUACCUGAAGAAUAAGCACCGGCUAACUACGUGCCAGCCGCCGCCGUAA